rnacentral:rRNA from 1 species
GCAAGAUACCACGGGCGCACGGCGGAUGCCUUGGCACAGGGAGCCGAUGAAGGACGCGGCAAGCUGCGAUAAUCCCCGGCGAGGAGCACACAUCCUUCGACCCGGGGGUCUCCGAAUGGGCGAACCCAUGCACAGCAGUGUGCAUAUCCCCACCCCGAACACAUAGGGGCGGGGAGGACAACCCGGGGAACUGAAACAUCUAAGUACCCGGAGGAGAGGAAAUCAAUCUCGAGACUCCCCGAGUAGCGGCGAGCGAAAGGGGACCGAUGGCCAAACCGUCGAGCGGGCAUACCCGGCAGGGGUUCCGCCGACGGGGUUGCAGGGCCGCGCAUCCGGGGGCUGCCGCCCCCGGGCGCAGGUCCGGCUGGGGAGCGGAACGGCAUGGGAGGGCCGGCCGCAGCGGGUGACAGCCCCGUACGCGAACCCAGACCGGACGGCGCGACGCGGUCCCUGAGUAGGGCCGGGCACGUGAAACCCGGUCCGAACCUGGGUGGACCACCAUCCAAGCCUGAGUACUACCCUGUGACCGAUAGCGCACCAGUACCGUGAGGGAAAGGUGAAAAGCACCCCGGGAGGGGAGUGAAACAGUACCUGAAACCGUGCGCCCACGAGCAGUCGGAGCAACUUUAUGUUGUGACGGCGUGCCUUUUGUAGAAUGAGCCAGCGAGUCGCUGGCGCGGGGCGAGGUUAACCGAAAGGGAGCCGGAGCGAAAGCGAGCCUUAACAGGGCGACUUGAGUCCCGCGCCGCGGACGCGAAGCCGGGUGAGCUAUCCGUGGGCAGGCUGAAGCGGGGGUAAGACCCCGUGGAGGGCCGAACGCACGUCGGUUGAAAACGGCGGCGAUGACCUGCGGAUAGGGGUGAAAGGCCAAUCAAACCCGGAGAUAUCUCGUUCUCCCCGAAAUAGCUUUAGGGCUAGCGUCGCGCGUUCACCGCCGGAGGUAGAGCACCGGAUGGACGAGGGGGCUUCGCCGCCUACCGAAUCCAACCGAACUCCGAAUGCCGGCGGCCCAGAGCGCGGCAGUCAGAGCAUGUGGGCUAAGCUGUGUGCUCGAGAGGGAAACAGCCCGGACCGCCCGCUAAGGUCCCCAAGUUCCAGCCGAGUGGCAAAGGAUGUGCGUCCGCCCAGACAACCAGGAUGUUGGCUUAGAAGCAGCCAUCCAUUCAAAGAGUGCGUAACAGCUCACUGGUCGAGUGGACAUGCGCCGACAAUACACGGGGCUAAGCUGGACACCGAAGCGGCGGGAUUUUGAUUUUCAGAAUCGGUAGGGGAGCUUCCCAUGGGCGGUGAAGCCGCCGGGCGACCGGCGGUGGAGCGCAUGGGAGUGAGAAUGCUGGCAUGAGUAGCGAGAGACGAGAGAGUAACUCGUCCGCCGUGAACCCGAGGUUUCCUGGGCAAGGCUAAUCCUCCCAGGGUCAGUCGGGGGCUAAGGCGAGGCCGGUAGGCGUAGCCGACGCGCAGCAGGCAGACAUUCCUGCACCGCGCACGCGGCGCUACGACCGACGGGGCGACGGAUGGGGGUGGCUCGGCGGGGUUCUGGACGUCCCCGUGAUGGAGCGCGGCCCGCGGACCAGGGAAAUCCGGUCCGCACGAGGGCGAGGCUCCGGACGAAGCGACUGAGCGAAGCGAGUGAGCCCGAGGUCCCUAGAAAAACCCCUAGGCAGGCGCGUGCGCGCCCGUACCGCAAACCGACACAGGUGGGUGGGUAGAACAUACCGAGGCGAUCGGGUCAACCAUGGUCAAGGAACUCGGCACAAUGGCCCCGUAACUUCGGGAGAAGGGGUGCCCGCGCGUACGUGAACCGGCUUGCCCGGGGAGCGGAGGCGGGCCGCAGUGGAGAGGCCCAAGCGACUGUUUACCAAAAACACAGGACUCUGCAGAAGCCGCAAGGCGACGUAUAGGGUCUGACGCCUGCCCGGUGCCGGAAGGUCACGCGGAGGAGUUAGCCGCAAGGCGAAGCCCCGAAGCCAAGCCCCGGUAAACGGCGGCCGUAACUAUAACGGUCCUAAGGUAGCGAAAUUCCUUGUCGGGUAAGUUCCGACCUGC